CCUACGGGAGGCAGCAGUAGGGAAUAUUGCACAAUGGGGGAAACCCUGAUGCAGCAACGCCGCGUGAGUGAAGAAGGCCCUUGGGUUGUAAAGCUCUUUAGCGAGGGAAGAGGCUUAGCUAACCUAAUACGUUAGUUAGGUGACGGUACCUCGAGAAUAAGCACCGGCUAAUUUCGUGCCAGCAGCCGCGGUAAUACGAAAGGUGCAAGCGUUACUCGGAAUCACUGGGCGUAAAGCGCUCGUAGGCGGAUUAGUAUGUCAAUUGUGAAAGCCCAGAGCUCAACUCUGGAAUCGCAGUUGAAACUGCUUUUCUUGAAUACCUGAGAGGGUGGGGGAAUACCUAGUGGAGAAGUGAAAUUCGUAGAGAUUAGGUGGAACACCGGAGGCGAAGGCGCCUGCCUGGCAGUGUAUUGACGCUGAGGAGCGAAAGUGUGGGGAGCAAACAGGAUUAGAUACCCUAGUAGUC
rnacentral:rRNA from 1 species